rnacentral:lncRNA from 1 species
CUGUUAAGCAACCUUAAUAUUUAAUAUAUCCUCUCACUGGUAGAGUAUUCUAAAAGAAGGAAUAAAAAAGCGAUGGGUAACCUACUAAUGUAAGUGAGUGCGUGCUAAUAAGUAUCUUCUGAUUUUGAGCCUUUUAUAGAAAUGAACUUCUUUUUUUAUUUUUUUGCUAGAUUGGGUAAAAGAUAAGCGAUUUAUGAAGUUGGUGCGUGGUAUAGAACUACAGCGAAAAACUGGUCGAUAGAAAAAUCGCCGUCAAAUUUAUUUUUAUCAAAUAAAUACAUAGAUGUUUUACUUGUAAAAGCAUUACAAGAUUGCCUGUAGCUUUGAUGUCCCAAAGUACCGACAAAGCUGUUUGCCGUUGCAUUUAUGUGUAUUAUCCGGUUAGCCAUUUUUCUAUAUAAAAAAUACGUUUUACGAGUAAUAAUAUGUAUCUGGUUACUGUUAUGGUUACAGAGGAUAACAGUUUACCAGUAUAUGUGGAAUAGAUUCUGCUCAUUCUGGUGCUACGGUAAAUUUGUGGGAAGCAAGUUGUCUUUGUUGAUAUAGUAUAUUGUGAAUGAAGGAGAAUUAUUGAAUAUUAAAUCACAUGUCUCAGUUUACUGCUCUCGACAAUUUUACUAGUAGAAACUCAGACUCGUAAAGCUCCGCCUGGCCGAUCAUUCUUCUACCGGAUUAUAAUUAUUAGAGUACAAAGAGAAACAGUGCUGCCAAGAUUUUCAAGAUCAACAAUGAAUUGGUUCGUUAACGCUUGCGUUAUUGCACCUAACCUAACAAACUAAAUUAAAUACUAAAAACCCAUGCUUCUACAAAGACAGUAAUUUCGCUGCACUGUCUUUCAUUUGAUCGUUUAUAGCAGUUCUUUCAUCCUUGCGACAAAUAUUACUUGCUCAUUUGCUGCUGGUCUUCUUGCUUCAACUUAUUGCAAAAAUCUCAAUCAAUCUUCAACACCAUCUUGCCAAUGUGAGCCUGGCUCCAUUGAUACUCAUAUGCUUCUUUAAGCUGUUCAAAGGGGAACACCUUGUCAACCACCGGGUGAAUGUCUUUGGCCUCUAUACAUGCAAUCCUAUUACGAAACAUGCUGGCACUACAACAACAAUACCACGGGUGUUGGCAUUUUGUUUAUGCAUCUGGACAAGCAAGUUGGUCAAGUUGAGAGUGCCUUCGCUAGCGAUAAAUCCAAUCAAGCUAACCAUGCCAUCCUUGGCCAAACAGGUAAUGGACCGAGGCAAUGCCUUUUCUCCUCCCACCUCGAUAACGUGGUGGUCGCCUACACCAUUCGUCAAUUUAAGAGCAGGCGAUGCCCACUGAGGAGUCUUCUUGUAACUUAUUGUAUGGGUAGCUCCUAGCUUCUUUGCAAAUGCCAACUUCUCGUCCGAGUAAGAUGUGGUAGUGACAUUCGUACCUGCGGCUAGGGCGAACUGAAGGGCAAAGAUGAAGACACCACCAGUGCCUAAAACCAACACGUUCUUUCCUGGUUUUACCUGGUGCUCCUUGAAUCCAAUAACCCAUUCCAUGCAGUUACAGCCGAACAUGGCGGAGUUGCUGUUUCUUCAAACGACAGUUCCUUGUGAGCAUGCACAGAUUAGACAGCGUACUUUUGAAAGCAACCAUCUCUUGUUCCGCCUAAAGUGCUUUGUGUGGCAAAGUCAGUAGGCUUACCAUCUAAAUAAUUGUGAAAAAGUUACAUAACACAGCGUCGCCCUUAUUAAAUCCUUCCACAUCCUCUCCAACCUUUUCAACGACGCCAACGCCGUCCGAAGCCGGAACAACUGGCAAUUAAAUGAGGAUUAGAUACAAUCCUUUGGCAAUAAUCAAGUCACAAUAUUUUAAAGAUGCGGUCUCAAGCUUUACCAGAACUUCGCCUGGUUUAUAUUUUUGAGGAAUUUCGUACUCUUCAGGUUUAGGUUGAUCGAAUCCGCCAAUUUCAUCACGUAUGAGGUAUCGUAAAGCUAUGCUUUUUAUAUUAAAGUGAAUGAUCCCAGUUAUUAUUUAAGUUUAACGUUUCCUUCAGCGCACCUUUUGAGAAUUCCAAAAUGAAUAUGUUCAAAGUUUGUGUAUUCUUCUCUUUGGGCGAAAAUUGUCUUUAUUUCUUGUAAACAAUUAUUGAAGCGGCCAUUUUCAGAAAUUGUUGACACCUUCAAAUAAUGCUGUUACAUUUGGCAUCAUGAAUAAAUUUCCUUGAACAAUUCAAAGCAUCCGCAUUAGUAACAAUCAAUAAAACAAUACAUUUUUAUUUUUCUUUCUUUACCAGCAUUCAAAGUUCAAUUGAGAACGUGCUAAAAUGGCGCUUUGCUCACCAAUUUCAAGUACAUCGUUAAUUUGGUGUCUUGACCUUGCUAAGCAUGUUACCGUUUUUUUUUUCGUUCUGUCCAAAAGUAUAACUUUGGAUAGAAAUGUAAUUUUCGAAGUGCGUUGUUGCACGAAAAGUAAAGGACUAAAUUGCUGCUGUCGUGAUAAAACACCAUCAAGUAAUUUGUCACUAACUGUCAGCUCAUUUGGAUACUGUUCAUAUUUAUGAAAAUGAAAAGUUCCUUCUAAAGUUUAAGGUUUAGACAUACCAAUUUGUUAAAAUCCCUUUGAUUUGUUUUACUAUUCUUAAACUCCGUAAUUUCAUAAAAUUCAUGAUAUACAAACACG